rnacentral:lncRNA from 1 species
GAACAUAAUGGGCAAGGAGUGCCUUCACAAAUAGACCCAGGCGGGUCAUCGCAGUCUUAGCUACUUUGAUGUCGGUUGGUAUCACUUCCUUUAAGCUUGAAUUUAAUUUUGUUUUUGAUGAAUGUUUUUGUCUGUUUGAAAACUUGUGCACUGUUUGAAUUGUCUUGUUUGGAUGUCAUUGAAAGUUAUCUAGUUUAGCAUCAUAAUACAUGAAUGUGUGAUUCUCUUGUUUGAUUGCUUGUUAUAUUUGAUGAUAGUUAGAAAAGUUGAGGAAGUUUUUCAAACAUUGACCAAUCGAUAAUCCGGCCUAGCCGUGAGAUUUCGAGCCCAAACACAUAAAUUUUCUUGUCAUGAGAGAUUCCACAACUUAGCUAAUUCUCUAGAACUAGCUAAUUCUCAGAAAAACUUGUGAGUUUUAAGAUCACCUAUUUUACAAAGAAUUGGAUUGUUCAAACACCCCCCCAAAAUUCAAGCAUAAUCAUACUAGAGAAUUUAUUUGUCAAACUAUUUUUUUUUCGCAGAGAGGUUCAUUAGCAUUUUUUUAUUUGGUGUUUUGUUUUUGUUUCUUUUU